GACGAACGCUGGCGGCGUGCUUAACACAUGCAAGUCGAACGGUGAACCUCUUCGGAGGGGAUCAGUUGCGGACGGGUGAGUAACACGUGGGCAACCUGCCCCCGGCUCUGGGAUAACUCCAAGAAAUUGGGGCUAAUACCGGAUGUUCACCGCUUCCCGCAUGGGUGGUGGUGGGAAGGGUUUCCGGCUGGGGAUGGGCGCGCGGCCCAGCAGUUUGUUGGUGGGGUAGUGGCCUACCAAGGCGACGACGGGUAGCCGGCCUGAGAGGGUGACCGGCCACACUGGGACUGAGAUACGGCCCAGACUCCUACGGGAGGCAGCAGUGGGGAAUAUUGCGCAAUGGGCGGAAGCCUGACGCAGCAACGCCGCGUGGGGGAUGACGGCCUUCGGGUUGUAAACCUCUUUCACCAGGGACGAAGCGCAAGUGACGGUACCUGCAGAAGAAGCACCGGCCAACUACGUG
rnacentral:rRNA from 1 species